rnacentral:ncRNA from 2 species
GAAUUAUAGUAGAUAUUAGGUGUCGAAAGACAUAACAGGGAAUUGAGAUUAAAGCUCAAGCUGUCCCAGCAACCGUAUGACGGACGAACUGCAAAUACCACUGCUUCUUAGCGGGAAGGUGCAUAGUAGGAUGAAGUCGAGCCGGUAGACCUACCUAAGACUCUAAGAAUAG